rnacentral:lncRNA from 9 species
GUCCUUACUAUAAAAAUAACUUCUUCCUAUACCUCUCCCAUAUCACUAAAUUGUGUUAAUUAUAUUAUUCAUUUUACUGUAUCAGAGUUUAUAACAUUUACAUUUAGUUCUCCAAUCAGUAUUUCCAAGACUUUUUGAGUUACUAUUUCUUAUGUUUCCAUGCUUAACACCAGUCCUUUUUACCAUGGCUUCUUUAUUCAUGAGUUUUUAAUUUUUAUUCAUCUUUUGGGUGACUAAAAUUACCUAAUGUUUUUUCAAUAAGAAGUAAUAAGUGCUGUGUUUGGAGUUCUUACAUAUGAGGAAUGCUUUAAACUUUAAGCCUGAAGGAUAAUACAAUUGGGUAUAAAAUUCCUUGGUUAUAUUUAAUUUCUGUCAGGAAUUUUAGUUAUGGAGCCACUCUCCUCUGGCACUGGAUGUUGCUGUGGAAAGACUGAAGCUAGCCUAAUAUUGUGUUUGUGUACAUUUUCGUUUUUUAAUUUUUCUUCUUUGAAAUAAAAGGAUACGUUCUUUACUCCUGAGGCCCUCUAGUAAAUGUUUUUUGUGGAUAGUUUUAUAUCAGUUGUUUUCUAGGACAGGAUAAACUUUAUACAUCCAGAUAUUUAUAUCAGAGAACUUAUCUGCUUGUGUUUUCCCUGGUUGUUUUUUUUUUUUCUGUUCAGCUUUUUUGUAGUCCUUUCUUCAGUAACUGGAGUUGUGUUUUCAGUCAUGUUCAUUCAUUUACUCACCCCUCCAAUGUUUUUAUUUUCCAUUUCAUUUCCGAUCACUCCAAGCUCUCUUUUCACUUCCUUCACUUUUUUUUUUCUUUGAAAAUGAGCAUGUUUCCCUUGAGUUCCUUUUUUUGCAUUUCUUUUUUAAAUUUUUAUUAUAGUUUAUUUACAAUGUUAUGUCAAUUUCUGCUGCACAGCAAAGUGACCCAGUUUUAUAUAUAUGUAUAUAUAUAAAUGUAUAUGUAUAUAUUCUUUUUCUCAUAGUCUUCUAUCAUGUUCCAUCACAAGUGAUUGGAUAUAGUUCCCUGUGCUGUACAGCAGGACCUCGUUGCUUAUUGAUUCUAAAUGUAAUAGUUUGCAUCUACUAACCAUGAACUCCCAGUCCAUCCCACUUGUCCCCUUGCCUUUGGCAACCACAAGUCUCUUCGCCAUGUCUGUGAGUCUAUUUUCUGUUCUGUAGCUAGGUUCAUUUGUGCCAUAUAUCGGAUUCCAGAUAAAAGUGAUAUCAUAUGGUAUUUGUCUUCCUCUUUCUGAUUUACUUCACUUAGUAUAAGAAUCUCUAGUUCCAUCCAUGUGGCUGCAAAUGGCAUUAUUUUGUUCUUUUUAUGGCUAAAUAGUAUUCCAUGGUGCA